rnacentral:lncRNA from 10 species
CUUUUUUCAGAUUCAUCUCAUGCCAAGCCUCUACGCCAAUCCAUCCUGAAUUAGAUGCUGUGCUCUUAUAUGCCGCUGUGCAUUUAUCUGAAAAAGCAGUUUCUAGUGGCUCAAAAAGAGAUACUCAUGAUUAUAAAGAAAUCGUCUUAGGCACUGUGUCCUCUCCAGCCACUGAGAUAAUGGUGCUACACAGGCCAUCCAGGACUCAUAGGCAUUGUAUCAAUCCAGCCUCUCCUCUUGCCCAAGUGAUACUGGGCAAGUCACUAACCUCUAUGAGCUUCAGUUUUCUUAUCAAUAAAAUGGAAUAAUUCCUAUCUCAUAGAACAUUGUGAGUAUUAAGUCAAACAAUGCACUUAUAGAAC